GCUGAGUCAGGGUGUGGGGCUCUGAUUGGCUGGGCAGAGUCACUGACCUGGAAUCAGGAAGCUAAGGCCAGCCCCACCUUAAUCGGUCGGUGGCAGAUUUCCCCAAAGAAGUCAAGACGUGCUACCAAAGAGAAAGGGGAAUGGAUACUAGGCAUCGAAAAUCAGCAGAACUCUUACGGGCACGUGGUGGAGGAGCGGAGGGAGGCUGGGCAGACUUUAUACCAACCGUUCCUGCCUCCGGGGCCCAGCAUUCUAACAACUUCCCACCCUCCGAGGCAGUCAUACAAAGCAGAGCCGAUUCCUCCGGGAGCCGAGAGAAGUGCAUCAGCAGCUUUAGCUCUGCCAUUCCCUUACACGUAUUUAACCUCCUGGACGCAAGAAUUCAAUCUGGCUUGUCUGCCUCUCCCCACGGACCUCAGAAUCCAGCCGGAGCCACUCCAACAGCUGUGUUUCCCGCUCGGAAGGAAAGAGACCAAAUAAAGCAGCAGGACGAAUUACGUGUGCAGAAAAGCGCAGCGUGGGAUUCCGAGUCCAAAGUGUUACUAGGUUUCGGGGGGCGAAAAGAGGUCUCCAGCAAAAUAUUUCAAAAUCCAGAUUCAAGAGAGGCAACUCACAACUUAAAGAUUGCCCAGAUAUCUGCCCUCCGAGGAUCAGCAUUGCAAAAGUGGAUGUUAAAAGUCAGACAAGGAAAUGGAAAAACAGCAGCUCAAGAACCAGACUGGCGUGCAAAUGCUGGCAUCCCAUCCAAGGAGUGUGUGCCCCGGGAGCUGUCUGCCAGGCUCUGUCCAGGUCUGCCAUGGUGGGGACAGUGCUGCUGCUGUUGUUAUCUGGUCAUCGGACACGGUCACUCACCACAUUCCCCAGCGGGGCUUAUAGACAACAAAGGGGCCGAGGUAGUUUUCAAGGGCUGCGUGGCAACAGGGUGUCAUUCUUCGCAUAUAAAGGUGACGUUACUGGUCUGCAGUCCCGAGCAAGAAGCCUCAUCAAGCCCUGGAAAGGGAUUGGCCCGGAUCCUUCUCCAAGCUCCUCCCCCUGUAUCUCUCCAUUUGCCCCAAAACAGUGGGGCCCAUUUGCAGGUCAGCUGGAGAAACGGAGAGGGCAGCCCUUGACCUGA
rnacentral:lncRNA from 1 species